rnacentral:rRNA from 1 species
GACAGAGGGUGCAAACGUUGUUCGGAAUUACUGGGCGUAAAGCGUGUGUAGGCUGCUCCGAUAGUCGGAUGUGAAAGCCCUGGGCUCAACCUAGGAAGUGCAUUCGAUACUCCGGAGCUUGAGUCCUGGAGAGGAAGGCGGAAUUCUCGGUGUAGAGGUGAAAUUCGUAGAUAUCGAGAGGAACACCGGUGGCGAAGGCGGCCUUCUGGACUGAUACUGACACUGAGGUGCGAAAGCGUGGGGAGCAAACAGG